GACGAACGCUGCGGCCGGGUUCAACCCUGCCAGGCGAACCGGAAAGCCCUGGCUUUUUGGGGGGGCUGGGGGGGCAACCGGGGGAGUAAACGGGGGUUAACUUGCCUUUGACUUUGGGUUAACUCAGGGAACUUGGGCCUAAUACGGGUUAGGGCUCCCUCUUGAAUGUGGGGGGUUGGAAGUUUUCGGGGGUUGGGGAUGAACUGGGGGCUGUUCAGCUUGUUGGUGGGGUAGGGGCUUACCAAGGCUUUGACGGGUAGCCGGCCUGAGAGGGUGACCGGCCACAUUGGGACUGAGAUACGGCCCAGACUCCUACGGGAGGCAGCAGUGGGGAAUAUUGCACAAUGGGCGGAAGCCUGAUGCAGCAACGCCGCGUGCGGGAUGACGGCCUUCGGGUUGUAAACCGCUUUCGCCUGUGACGAAGCGUGAGUGACGGUAAUGGGUAAAGAAGCACCGGCUAACUACGUG
rnacentral:rRNA from 1 species